rnacentral:lncRNA from 1 species
AGUAUUUUUAAAGCAAUUAAAACAAAGGAAAAAAAGAGGAAAUUCAAGAAAAAUAGAAAAUUAAGAAAAUAUAAUAUGGAAAAAUAAAAAUCAGAUGGAGAAAAAUAAAAUAAAAUUUUAGAAAUUAUUUUGGGUUUUUUUGGAUAAAAGAUGAAUUUUCUAUGAAUUUUUAAAUAAAAUGAAGUUUAAAAUAAAAAAAGAAAAAUAAAUAAAGUC